rnacentral:rRNA from 1 species
GACGAACGCUGGCGGCGUGCUUAACACAUGCAAGUCGAACGGAAAGGCCCUGCUUUUGUGGGGUGCUCGAGUGGCGAACGGGUGAGUAACACGUGAGUAACCUGCCCUUGACUUUGGGAUAACUUCAGGAAACUGGGGCUAAUACCGGAUAGGAGCUCCUGCUGCAUGGUGGGGGUUGGAAAGUUUCGGCGGUUGGGGAUGGACUCGCGGCUUAUCAGCUUGUUGGUGGGGUAGUGGCUUACCAAGGCUUUGACGGGUAGCCGGCCUGAGAGGGUGACCGGCCAAAUGGGGACUGAGAUACGGCCCAGCCUCCUAGGGGGGGAAAAAGGGGGGAAUAUUGCACAAGGGGGGGAACCCUGAUGCGGCAACGCCGCGUGGGGGAGGAGGGCCUUGGGGUUGUAAACCGCUUUCGCCUGGGACGAAGCGGGAGUGACGGUAAUGGGUAAAGAAGCACCGGCUAACUACGU